rnacentral:rRNA from 1 species
UUGUGCCAAGCAGCCGCGGUAAUUCCAGCUCCAAUAGCGUAUAUUAAAGUUGUUGCGGUUAAAAAGCUCGUAGUUGGAUCUCGGCGGGCAGGGGGUGGUUCGCUCUUCAGCGCUACUGCCCCGCUUUGCCCGUGUGAUUGGCGGAGGUUUCGGGGUGCUCUUCGUUGAGUGACUCGGAGCGCCGUCAGGUUUACUUUGAAAAAAUUAGAGUGCUCAAAGCAGGCUUUUCACGCUUGAAUAUUCGUGCAUGGAAUAAUGGAAUAGGAACUCGUUUCUAUUUUGUUGGUUUUCGGAAAUCGAGUUAAUGAUUAACAGGGACAAUUGGGGGCAUUAGUAUUCAGACGACAGAGGUGAAAUUCUUGGACCGUCUGAAGACUGACUACUGCGAAAGCAUUUGCCAAGAGUGUUUUCAUUAAUCAAGAACGAAAGUUAGAGGUUCGAAGGCGAUCAGAUACCGCCCUAGUUCUAACCAUAAACGAUGCCAGCUAGCGAUCUGCCGAGUUUUUUUUGUAGGCUCCGCAGGAAGCUUUCGGGAAACCAAAGCUUUUGGGUUCCGGGGGAAGUAUGGUUGCAAAGCUGAAACUUAAAGGAAUUGACGGAAGGGCACCACCAGGAGUGGAGCCUGCGGCUUAAUUUGACUCAACACGGGAAAUCUCACCAGGCCCGGACACUGGAAGGAUUGACAGAUUGAGAGCUCUUUCUUGAUUCGGUGGGUGGUGGUGCAUGGCCGUUCUUAGUUGGUGGAGUGAUUUGUCUGGUUAAUUCCGAUAACGAACGAGACUCUGUCCUGCUAAAUAGUUGGGUCGUCCUUCGUGCGAUCCAAGUUCUUCUUAGAGGGACUGGCUGCGUCUAGCAGCACGAGAUUGAGCAAUAACAGGUCUGUG